rnacentral:sRNA from 1 species
AAUAAAACAUAUACAACUCCCAUAU